AUUGAACGCUGGCGGCAGGCCUAACACAUGCAAGUCGAACGAGUGGCGGACGGGUGAGUAAUGUCUGGGAAACUGCCUGAUGGAGGGGGAUAACUAGUGGAAACGGUGGCUAAUACCGUAUACCAUCGGAGGAGACCAGAUGGGAUUAGCUAGUAGGUGGGGUAACGGCUCACCUAGGCGGCGAUCCCUAGCUGGUAUGAGAGGAUGACCACCCACACUGGAACGUGGACACGGUCCAGACUCCUACGGGAGGCAGCAUUGGGGAAGAGUGCACAAUGGGCGCAAGCCUGAUGCAGCCAGGCCGCGUGUAUGAAGAAGGCCUUCGGGUUGUAAAGUACUUUCAGCGGGGAGGCGUUACCCGCAGAAGAAGCACCGGCUAACUCCGUGCCAGCAGCCGCGGUAAUUC
rnacentral:rRNA from 1 species